UUCGGUGGCGAUAGCAAAGAGGGUACACCCGUUCCCAUCCCGAACACGGAAGUUAAGCUCUUUAGCGCCGAUGGUACUGCACGGUUGCGUGUGGGAGAGUAGGACGCUGCCGAAA
rnacentral:rRNA from 1 species